rnacentral:tRNA from 1 species
GCCUACUUAGCUCAGUCGGUUAGAGCAUCUGACUGUUAAUCAGGGGGUCGUAGGUUCAAGUCCUACAGUGGGCGCCA